AAACUGGAUUUUUUCCUCACAAUACUGAAAACGCAAAAAUGUCAAGAUCAUUUAUCAAAUAGCCAUAAUUACAGAGGGGUAUGACUUCUGCUUUAAAUCUAAAUCACUUCAGGCUGAGUAAUUGAUGUUUGGAUAACAGAAAGCUACGUAACCACUUGGACACCAGAAGAUUCUGCAAUAACUUUGAUCUGAGAUAUGAAGGACCAGUAGAAAUUCACCAGGUAAAGAGAGGAAGAGCAUGGGUACAGUAUGAGCAUAGGCUCUGUGCCAGGAUGGAACUCAGCCUCAAUGGAUUACUCUAUCAAGGUCACUGCCGUGAACUGCAGAAAAAAUGGGAACAUAAUGAAGUAAAAUUUAAAUAGACCUAACAAACACUUGAUUCAAUGUUCCUGGGAUACAAUCUCUUCACUUGAAAAUACAUAUUCCAAAAUUCAGUUCCACCUGAGAUGGCAGAGGUUCUGAGAACCAUCUGGGGGUUUGAUGUGAUGUGAACAUUUCUUUCAUACUGUUCCUUUUUCCUAUUUGCAUUUAUGUGAUUGACCAUGUGUGCA